CAGAAGAUAGUUUAUAAAAAUAUUAAUUUUGGAGAUUAAAGAUAAGAAUUUAAUCUUUCUUCUGA
rnacentral:tRNA from 1 species